GGAUGUGAGGGCGAUCUGGCUGCGAUUCUGUCACCCCAUGAUCACUAGGGUUGAUUCGGCUGAUCUGGCUGGCUAGGCGGGUGUCCCCUUCCUCCCUCACCGCUCCAUGUGCGUCCCUCCUGAAAAUUCAGGCUCGGUUGAAGAGGACGACUUUCCCCGAUAGAGGAGGACCGUCUUUCAGUCAAGGGUAUAUGGGUAGCUGCGCUCCCCUGCUAGAACCCCCACACAAGCUCUCAAGGUACACAACCUCACAACACUUGUCUUUUGUCUUUUGAUAAUAGCCAUUCUAACAGGUGUGAGGUGAUAUCUCAUUGUGGUUUUGAUUUGCAUUUUGCUGAUGAGG
ensembl:misc_RNA 7SK 7SK RNA